rnacentral:misc_RNA from 1 species
UUUUGGAGAAGAAGCGUCUCCAAUUGCCACAGCUCAACGUAGCCAAGUCUUUCAGGGUCCAACUCUUCCAUGAUCAAAGCUGCGUACUCCUCUGCUUGUUCCUUUAAUCUUGACAACUUGUUUGCAGAUGCACUUAGCAUGAUAAUCUCUUUAACUUCUUCUUCCGUGAUUCUUCCAUCAUCAUUCUUGUCCACCAUGUCGAAG